AGCUGGAAGGCCCUAGGGCAGCUACAGCGAUCCGGCACAGACGAAAGCAAAGACUAUGUGUGAGUGUGGCUGUACAGACCACAGGAUCCCCUCUGGAGAGCGAUCAAGGGUCAGUGGACACAGAGAC